rnacentral:rRNA from 1 species
GAUGAACGCUGGCGGCGUGCCUAAUACAUGCAAGUCGAGCGAACAGACGAGAAGCUUGCUUCUUUGAUGUUAGCGGCGGACGGGUGAGUAACACGUAGAUAACCUACCUAUAAGACUGGGAUAACUUCGGGAAACCGGAGCUAAUACCGGAUAAUAUUUUGAACCGCAUGGUUCAAUAGUGAAAGACGGCUUUGCUGUCACUUAUAGAUGGAUCUGCGCUGUAUUAGCUAGUUGGUAAGGUAACGGCUUACCAAGGCAACGAUGCAUAGCCGACCUGAGAGGGUGAUCGGCCACACUGGAACUGAGACACGGUCCAGACUCCUACGGGAGGCAGCAGUAGGGAAUCUUCCGCAAUGGGCGAAAGCCUGACGGAGCAACGCCGCGUGAGUGAUGAAGGUCUUCGGAUCGUAAAACUCUGUUAUUAGGGAAGAACAUAUGUGUAAGUAACUGUGCACAUCUUGACGGUACCUAAUCAGAAAGCCACGGCUAACUACGUG